rnacentral:rRNA from 1 species
CGGGACACGUGGUAUCCUGUCUGAAUAUGGGGGGACCAUCCUCCAAGGCUAAAUACUCCUGACUGACCGAUAGUGAACCAGUACCGUGAGGGAAAGGCGAAAAGAACCCCGGCGAGGGGAGUGAAAAAGAACCUGAAACCGUGUACGUACAAGCAGUGGGAGCCUCUUAAUGGGGUGACUGCGUACCUUUUGUAUAAUGGGUCAGCGACUUAUAUUCUGUAGCAAGGUUAACCGAAUAGGGGAGCCGAAGGGAAACCGAGUCUUAACUGGGCGUUAAGUUGCAGGGUAUAGACCCGAAACCCGGUGAUCUAGCCAUGGGCAGGUUGAAGGUUGGGUAACACUAACUGGAGGACCGAACCGACUAAUGUUGAAAAAUUAGCGGAUGACUUGUGGCUGGGGGUGAAAGGCCAAUCAAACCGGGAGAUAGCUGGUUCUCCCCGAAAGCUAUUUAGGUAGCGCCUCGUGAAUUCAUCUCCGGGGGUAGAGCACUGUUUCGGCAAGGGGGUCAUCCCGACUUACCAACCCGAUGCAAACUGCGAAUACCGGAGAAUGUUAUCACGGGAGACACACGGCGGGUGCUAACGUCCGUCGUGAAGAGGGAAACAACCCAGACCGCCAGCUAAGGUCCCAAAGUCAUGGUUAAGUGGGAAACGAUGUGGGAAGGCCCAGACAGCCAGGAUGUUGGCUUAGAAGCAGCCAUCAUUUAAAGAAAGCGUAAUAGCUCACUGGUCGAGUCGGCCUGCGCGGAAGAUGUAACGGGGCUAAACCAUGCACCGAAGCUGCGGCAGCGACGC